GGAGUUGAUAAGACGGUCGCGUCCGGACAGGAGUGUUUCUGUCGGGAUGAGGAAAGUCCGAACUCCGCAGGGCAGGCCGCCUCGUAAUACGAGGAAUCAGUAAUGAUUGGAAAGUGCCACAGAAAACAGACUAUCUGUCUCUUACCGGGAGGAGACUCCCGGGAACAGGCGGAUACAGGUGAAAAGGCGAGGUAAAAGCUCACCGGGUCUGCCGAAAGGCAGGCCGCUUGGUAAACCCCGGUCGGAGCAAUGCAAAACUGAGAGACCGCUCCGGCGGUGAAUCCGGCCCGGAUUCUAUUCUCAAGGUGGCAGCACGAUUUCGGAAGUGAUUCCGGAACCAGAUAAAUGACCGUCCCCUGCCUUGUCGCAUGACAUGACGGGUGAACAGAAUUCGGCUUACGUUCAACUCCGGAU
rnacentral:RNase_P_RNA from 3 species